rnacentral:rRNA from 1 species
UACGUAGGGGGCAAGCGUUGUCCGGAUUUAUUGGGCGUAAAGAGCUCGUAGGUGGUUCGGUGAGUCGGAUGUGAAAUCUCCAGGCUCAACCUGGAGGGGUCAUUCGAUACUGCCGUGACUAGAGGUCGGUAGGGGAGUGUGGAAUUCCCGGUGUAGCGGUGAAAUGCGCAGAUAUCGGGAGGAACACCAAUUGCGAAGGCAGCUCGCUGGGACGUCACUGACGCUGAGACGCGAAAGCGUGGGGAGCGAACCGG